GUGACCAUGCUGAGUUCAGAUUUAAUGUCCACUUGACAUUGAAGAUCCUGGGAAUCGUUGCUCUCUACAGUACCAUCGUCAUCUUUGAGUGGUGGUUUAGAUCAAGAUGCUGCAACAAACCAGUGCAGGACGCAGCAGAAGCAGACUACGUCAACAGAGUGGUUGAGAUUCAAGCAUCAUGAAGGAGACGAGAAAGAUGCCAUCUUCACCUUAAAUUAAAUAUUUC